rnacentral:tRNA from 1 species
GACACCGAUGCUCGAUGGCCGGGCGACUGUCUGCAACACAGUUUUUCAGUGAGUUCGAUUCUCACCGGCGUCUC